rnacentral:rRNA from 1 species
AUGCCAAUUUAUUUCCUGUGCCCAUUGGAUAUCCCUAUUGGUAUUAUCAAGCAGCUUGAAAGGAUUGAGAGGCAAUGCCCUUGGCGUGGUAAUUCUGAUACACCAAGACAAUCCCUAGCAGCUUGGGAAUUGGUAUGUAGGCCAAAAGCAAAUGGAGGACUGGGAGUGAUUAAUCUGCAAAUACAGAACCAAGCCCUUCUGGUAAAGCAUUUGCACAAGUUUUAUAACAAGGCUGACAUACCAUGGGUAUCUCUUAUUUGGGAUUCAUACUAUCAUGGAGUAGUUCCACAGGCCACUGUCUUAUGUGGCUCCUUUUGGUGGAAGGAUGUUUUUGAACUGGCUGAUAAUUACAGAGCGGUGGCUACUGUUAUAGUCAAUUCUAGGGAUUCAGUACUGCUUUGGUCUGAUGGCUGGCAUCUUGAUGGAUCCACAAGGCCUCUCCGAGAUAGAUUACCUCACCUGUUCUCCUAUGCAAUUGAUGACAAGAUUUCCGUCUCUGAUUUCUUAUCCACCCCUGAUAUUGCUUCAUUGUUCAAUCUGCCAAUAUCUCAAGUGGCUGCAACAGAGUUGUUAUGCUUACAGGACUGGAUAGCUAACUUACAGAGGAACCCCAUGGAAAGUGAUGUUUGGUGCUGGCUGGAUAAAGGAAAUUAUUCUGCUAAAAGUUACUAUACUCUGAUGCACACACAUCUUCCUGUUAUCCAGCCCUGUAGAUGGCUUUGGAAGAGCAAAUGCACAAUGAAAAUUAAAUGUUUUACUUGGUUGCUGUUCUUUGACAGACUGAACACCAAGGAUUUACUAGUCAGAAGGAAAUGGAGGUCCACUGAUAAGAUAAUCUCUGUGUCAUGUCACCCGCAAAAAAAAAAAUGUGCCCUGCUAGAAGAUAUGAGGAUAGGAUUCAUCUUUUCUUCUCAUGCAAUUUCAGCAUCAGGGUUUGGCACUACUUGCAGAUUGAUUGGACACACCAGGGUGACAUUGCUGAGUGCAUUCUGCAUGCUAAAAACAGUUUUGGCCAUCCAUUCUUCUUUGAGGUUUUCUUUACUGUGA